rnacentral:tRNA from 1 species
UAAAGGUCGGGAUAGCUCAG